CCGGGAUCUCCCGGAGGCCCGGGCUCUCCUUGGGCCCCGUCUCGGCCGUCCUUGCUCACGCCGGGCACACCCUGCGGUCCUGGAGACGAGUCGGAGCAGGAAGAAGGCCGUUCGUCGCCCAAGCACGCCCCCGCAGAGUUGGAAGCAAAGCCGGCACACGUACCUUGGAGCCCCUGGUCUCCGUCAGGCCCGUCCAGACCCGCGCCCGCCGAGCCUUUGUCUCCUCGGUCUCCCUGGGUCCCUGUGGGAAAGCAGCGGAUGUGAGCCCCAGAUGUUCUCACGGUAUUUGAGAAAAACAUCACAUUAAAAAAACGUUGCAGUGCUCGUGGGAGACGGAAUGCGGGGGCCACUCACCUCUGG